ensembl:ncRNA Y34B4A.16 ncRNA
GUGUAGGGAAUUUAUAAAUGUUUGAACUUUUAGUAUCUCAGGGAAUCCUCUAGGUUUAUGAAACUAUCCGGAAAAAAACAGAGAAACAUUUUGAAAACAUAUGAAAGUAUAUAUUCGAAAACUAUUGGGAUUCCCCCCACCCGCCCGUUCCCGAAAUAAAGACCAAGAAUUCAGAGUUUUGAGCAAUAGAAUUGUGUGUGUAAUGUGAUUCAGUU